rnacentral:rRNA from 1 species
ACCAACCGUCGUCCGUUGGUAGGGUAGGGGUAAACGUAAACGACGCGUAGAACAGCUGCUAAUACCGCAUAAUAUGUCUGAACCGCAUGGCUCUGGACAUCAAAGAUUUAUCGCUCUGAGAUGGACUCGCGUCUGAUUAGCUAGUUGGUGGGGCAACGGCCCACCAAGGCGACGAUCAGUAGCCGGACUGAGAGGUUGGCCGGCCACAUUGGGACUGAGACACGGCCCAGACUCCUACGGGAGGCAGCAG